UUGAGUAUCCAAGCCUCCCAGCCCAGCUACGCAGGCACUUACCUCUGUGCAGGGAGCGCACAGUGGUCUAUAGACUGCCGCGGGCUGUCUCCAAACCUGCAGCUGGGCCACAGCUGCUCUGACACAGGGCCCCUGAGGCAGGACUAGAGCACUUGCCAAAAUGAGAGACUCGAGGGUGCAGUUGUCUCCCUACAUAGCAGUAUAAAGCUUUGAGGAAGGGGACAAGGGACAGGACCCAUCCUUGGCAGCCACUUUCCUUAAGGUGCUGAUACCUGUUACCCCAUGGUAUAAAUGUGCAUCCCUUCUACUUGUCCUUGGAGACCUUGAGCAGCUCCAAGGCAUACAAAGUGCAUACAUCUAGAAUCACACAACGGAGCCUCUGCUUGCGGACUUUCUCCAUCACUUUGUGACCACUAUCAAGGCGCUGGGGCAGCACAAGGCAAUGGCUACUCUUCUUUGAUGGCAGCAGAGGCAGGAAGGACCUAAAAAUAAUAUUUACACCGUUAAUAAAAUGGCAGUCUCAAAUUGA
rnacentral:sRNA from 1 species